rnacentral:rRNA from 1 species
GUAGGUGGCAAGCGUUGUCCGGAAUUAUUGGGGCGUAAAGCGCGCGCAGGCGGUCCAUUAAGUCUGAUGUGAAAGCCCACGGGCUCAACCGUGGAGGGUCAUUGGAAACUGGGGGACUUGAGUACAGAAGAGGAAAGCGGAAUUCCAAGUGUAGCGGUGAAAUGCGUAGAGAUUUGGAGGAACACCAGUGGCGAAGGCGGCUUUCUGGUCUGUAACUGACGCUGAGGCGCGAAAGCGUGGGGAGCAAACAGGAUUAGAUACCCUGGUAGUCCACGCCGUAAACGAUGAGUGCUAAGUGUUAGGGGGUUUUCGCCCCUUAGUGCUGCAGCUAACGCAUUAAGCACUCCGCCUGUGGAGUACGGCCGCAAAGGCUG